GCCCCCCCUCUUUUUCUCAUCCAUACUGCCCCUUGUGGCGGUGUUACCGGCGUUUUCCAACGCUAUAUGGGGGCAUAGCACCCCACUACAUUUGAUCUCAGAACACACAGAACAAUCUUUUCUCCAUCUCUCUCUUUCUUCUCUCUAUAACAACCGGUCACCACCAUCAUUUCGGCCACCACUUCCAGCCACCGGCAACCUAUCUAAACCCACCUCACUAUCUGAAAACACACCUGUAGCACAAAAUAAUUUAGCCUGAACCCUUGCCAUUGUCAGAUUUCAGCCUGAGCUAUAGCCAUCGCCGCUAAAUACCGGGUCGCCGCCAUCCUUCUGGUCGUCGAAUAAGGCUAAAAUACCGUGUCGCCGCCAUCCUUCUAGCCGUCGAACUAGGGUAUGAUCGAAUCAGAUACGCCAAAUCAAUAUUUUUCAUGGUCGUCGGAUCUGUUAUGGGCCCAAAUCGUUGUUUGUGUUCCAAUCUUCUGGCAGGUGGUGGUCGUUGCAGAGGCGCCGGUGGUUUCCCCUUAACCCUUUGACCUUCCUUGAUGCGGUAUUAGGGUUGCGUUUCAGGCGGCAAGGGUUUGUUGGAAAUUAUGAUGGUUGCUUUUUUAGUUUUAUAAAGAAGAUCCAAACAUUGGGCCAUUAUUUAUCUCAGAUUCAUUAUAUCACAAUUUGAUUGGGUAAAUACCCAUUUAUUAUUAUAUAUAUACAAUUUGCGUCGGCCUUAACUACAGUUCCGGUUUCUCGGUAUAUCUAACAUGCAUCUGCCGGUUUACGCCACGUCCCUCACAUCGGUUACCUGCAAAACCCUAGCCUUGGUCGACACCAUCUAUAGCCCUUAUCAAACUCUACGGCGACGGAAUCGUCCUCAAUAGAAGAUCCAAUCAAAUAGAAUAACGCCAGGAAGAACCCGCUGGAACAGGGGCAUAAGCCAUAGACGGUCACCGAAACAGGGUGACCGGCUGUAGGCUUUGGCCGGAUCCCCUUCCGUUCACGCUUUCUCUCUCUAUCGCUUAGAUUCUCUUUCUUUCCUCUUCUCCCUUUGGCCGAUUCUCUUGUGUGUUUUUUUGAUUUUUUUUAGGUUUAACCGAAGGAGACACUGAGGUUAUAGACGUCAGCAACUAAGGUGUUCCAACAGAAUUCCGGUGAAUAAGAUCUGUCGUGCGUGUCCCGUUUUUGUGUACAUCGACAAACACCGAGGUACCGCUACGAUGAUACCUUUUAUUAUAGGUUUUGACCCACUGGUGUUCGACGGAAUGCUUUUAUACGAUUCUUUGGUUUUAAAGUUUCGACGGUUAGAUAUUAGUAGAUUUUAUUCAUUGCAACAUUUGCUGAGUAUGUACCUUCAUUCAUAGCUGUUAAAGUCGGAGGGCGCUCUUAAGGCGCAAAAAGUGCACACCAUAUACAAAAAAAGCGCAGCCUCUUUCUGCUAUAAUACUUCCAGAUAUUUGUUGGUUAGAACUGGUGAACACUCAUUGUUCAUUACAAUAAUGUGACAAGUAAGAAAAUAUAUUUAAGUAAUAUGAUUUAAAAAGUGACUUAAUCUGAAAGGUGUAGACAAUUUGCGAAGGUCUUGCACAAACUUCACCAUGACACAACAAAGUAAGGUGUAGACCAUAUAUAGGUUCUAUAGUCAAAGCCAUAAGGCGCACAUUUGGUGCGCAAGCGAGGCGAUGGCGCCUUAGGUAGACCUAAGGUGACAACCUUGCUCUAUGUGAAACAAAAGGUACGCAAAAUUGUUUUAAAAUGUGACAUUUUUUUCUAUUUAGGGUUAUGGUUCUAUAUCAUCAGUUGUCUUUUGUUUUGCUUAUAUUCAGCUCAGGAUCAGAAGAUUGCUUCAGUCAUUAAUCAGUACACCAUGAAGUAAUUACUAAGCUUUGCUUACAGUUAUGUUAAAAGACUUGAAACUAUGUAUCAGAGUUAAGUUUUAUGUAUAUAUUUUAUUGUAGCCGCUUUGCAAAUACUAAUACAUUUCGCGCCAAAAGACAUCUUGGGAAAAAUAUUCUUUCCACGCGGUAUAUGUUCGUGUUUGUCUUUGCUUACGUUUUACGUUACGUUUACAAACUCACGAUUUAUUAGAUUUUUUUUUUGUUUUAGUGUCGUUAAUUUGCAUAAUAUUGUGCACAGUUUUACGACUCACGCCCCGCAACGCGGGGGUUAAACACUAGUAUAAUAACAAUUGAUGAAUGAGCUUAUGAACAGUAUAUCAAUUGGACAUAAUUGGGAUACUAUUUACAGCAUUGCCACUUUUUAGAGUUUUACAGAUGAGAGAGAGUAAAUAAGGGAGGGCCGGUGCCGGUGUAUCUGAGGCGGCUCCGCGUCGGCAACACAAUCGUUCAUUUCUAUAAAAGAAGUUCAACUGAAAGUUUAUGUCAUGAUUUGAAUCGUCACUUUGGCAUAUUUUUAGAGAAGGGAGAGAGCCACAGGGAAAGAGGGAGAGAGAGAGAACGGGAAAGAGGGAGAGAGAGAGAGAGGCAAUGGAGAAGGUGAGACCAGGCACGGCCUCCGGCCGGCCACCUUAAACCGGCGAUAACGAUGACAGUGAUUGUGUCGCUUGGUCGGAGAACGAAGAUGGGAACGGUAGUUUAAAACCCUAGGCAACGAGGGGGUUCUGGUGAUGAGAUCGCAGGUCUAUUCUUCAUACGAUUAGGUCAUAUGGUUCAGACGACUGCAGCGAGCGGCGGCUAGGAUUUUGCCCUAUUUUAGCUGUUCAUGCUUGCCUUGCUCCUGUCGUGACGGACUGACGACAAAGUAUUCUGAGCGACCUUUCAAGUUCAUUUUAAAUAAUCAGGUUUUGGUUGACAUUGUGAAAUUGGUACAAAAAGAGGGAUGGAAGGUAGUAAUGGAGGUUAGAAGGAGUUUUUGAGUGUUUAUGAUAAGAAAUUUGGGAAAAAUUUUAGUAAUGCUGAUGAUUUGAAGGUAAGUGAUGUAACUGGUGUUGGUGGAACAUUAUUUUGUGUUUCGAUUAUGUUUAAACCGCAUGUGUCUGAUGAUGAUGAAGACAUUUUGUUCCCGUUUUUUGAUAAGGUGGUUGAAAAGCAUGAGAGUGUAUAUCAACAACAAACGGAUUAAAUGUCUCCUGAACAGGUUUGUUUUGAACAUGAGAGAGAGAGAGAGAGAGAGACAAUGGAGUAGGGGAAACCAGGCACGGCCUCCGGCAGGCCACCUUAAACCGACAACAACGACGACAGUGAUGGUGUCACUUGGUCAGUGAACGAAGAUGGGAACGGUGGUCGUACUCGGUUCGACUUCUCCGGCGGCCAUACCCGGUUCGUCUCCUCAGGUUGUCAGUUCAUUAUCUCCUACGAGGUAAUUAGGGUUAGUGGUGAAGAUCUGUUGGAUUGGGGUUAGAUUUGUUCCACUAACCAUUGGUUUCAUCAUAUUUAUCGAAUGACUUCUAUAGAGUUCACUGCAGAACAAUGGGGUUUUGGCCUACUUCUAUCUAUGGUAAAUUAAGGUUAGUUGGAUUGUGAUACGGUGGUAUCUAUUCGAUUGAUUGUGUUUGUGUUUCUGUGAUAUGUAAAUUGUCACUGUUAAAUUUAAUGGUCUUUAUUUGGGAAAUUAUUAGGUUAUGAAUGGUUCAUGACAUGGUGUUUGUCUACAAUUAGAAUGUCAGUUAUGGUACAUUGGUGAGUUUAAAUGAUUAGAAUGCUAUCAAAUAAUUAAUAUUUUGUCUAACGAUAAUAAUCAAAUUAGAAUUACUGUUACGCCUUUUCAGUUUCCGUGAUGAUGUAAUAAAGCAGCUUGUGCGAGAGUUGAAGUAUCUCGAUGAAACCCUACCACUAAGAAUUAAAGUAUGGGUAAACAAUGAUGAUUUUCCAACUAUAUAUCCUCCCUUUUCUGCCGAUGAUGGCCAGCCCAGCUGGUCGGAGGUGUGAGGGUUUUACCCACAGGUCACGGGUUCGAUCCUGGCCAGUGGUGGUUUCCCGCAUGGGGUCCCGGUUCGAUCGGAAGGCGCUUGCGGGCGGGCCGGUUCGAAUGCGGGUGGGUGAGUCGCUGCGAUUUAUGGGACGCGGGGCUGACCAGCUGAUCUAAACCUUUCAAAAAAAAAAAAUAUAUCCUCCCUUUUCUGAUUGUUGAAAAAGAGCCUAUUUUAAAAGGUCAUUCAUUGGUUUUUCAAGUUUUGCUUCUACAUUCAAGUUUGCUUCUAGAAGGUUUAAGGUAAUGGUAUUUGUAUUAAUGGAGUUCUGAUGUUGUUGUUAACUAUGUUCUAACCAGGCUGCAAUUGAUUCAUCUCAUCUUAUGAAAUAAAGAGUGGACAUGGGAAAUUGGCAAGGCAAAUGACAUUUCUAAUGGCAUUUUUUGAUUAUACAGGAGGAAACUGUAUAAAGGUAUAAUCUUGAGUUCGUUCUUAUUUGCAUAGUAUGUGAUCGUUAUUUUAGGUUUUGUGAAAUUUAUGGUCAGAUGUGAUACAGUUUGAGUAGAUUGUGUGAUUUUGCACAAAAUGUAAUGAAAGAGGAUUCACUAAAAGUUUAAACGACUUUCAUAGUGAAGGUAUGCAUUGUUUUUUUAAUAGGAUAGGUGGUUGUGUUGCGUUCA